GCACAACAAGCAAAGCUCCUCCUAUCGCCAGCUGACCAACACCAUUUGACUGCCAAACCACAUGAGGUCACAGAAAGUUUGGAAAUGGGGAAUUCAUUUGAACGCCUCCUCCUGGUCAUCUCACCAACCUUCCCAGCAAAUAGAUCUCCUCAGUGAUCAGAUGUUGCAAAGGAAACAAACAGAGCGGUCGUGCUGCAGAGACAGUGUGUUUAAAUCCCAGCUGAGUUACUGGAACAUGUAAGAGUGUGCAGAUUUUCACGUGAUUUCCAUCAGAGAGCAGAGGAAGUGACAGAGCCAGAGAGCAGGUGGCUGGAUUCUGCUUUAGAGACCAGGAGAGAAGUUCCAUCAUCCAGGAGGAGCUUGGAGUAGAGCUGCUGCUGCUCCACCACCUAAGAAGGAAUCAGCUGAGAUUCAUCUGAUGAGGAUGACAUCACAUCCCUUCUCACCAGGGAGCACCUUAGGAUCCUCAAGGAGGAGCAGGGUAGAGGGAUAUCUGGGUUUCCUUCUGGAGGUCUUACACCUGAGUGAAGUUGAUUCCCUCUCGCCAUCUCAUUCUUCUUAUUUGAUUUUUUGAAUCUAUCAAAACUGUUAUCAAUGGUUGUACAGCUUACAUUUUAAAGAUACAAAAAGUUUACAGAGGCUGUACCUUUAGGGGUAAACUUUAAAGAAAGAGCUGCAGUGUUUUCCCUCAAGGCGAGUGCUAAGUGACUGCUGAGUGUGUGUGCGAGCACAUGGAGGCGUCACGUGACACAGAUAGUUCAUGACAGACAGGAGCAAUGAUCAGGCAUGAAGUACCUUCAAACAGGGAAGGCAAUCCAGGAAGUGGGAAAACCACAGAGCAAAAGGAAAUAUAGCAGACAUUCAUUUUAGAUGUUUCAGGAAACCUCCUUUUAAAGUUUAAUUUGAAAUAUUAUUUUUUUGUUUUCUUGUGAAUUUCAGAUGCAUUUGACUCAGCAGUUUGCCUCACACCCGUGUGUCCCAGCAGGUGUGCCUUCUCCUUAAUUUCUUUAGUUCUCCUCAUUGCUUUACCUGGUCUGCUCUCUGCGGUUGCUACUGGUUUUAUUAGGAUUCCUGCACACGCACCAGCUCCUGUUUUCCAAGAAUUAUAACACUCCUUUGUUUCCUAACCAGCGAUUAUGUCAGUUACUCUGUGCUGUUCAGAAGAAUUUCUUCAUUGUUUGGAUUAUAAACCAAAAAUCAAGAUGUGAUAAAAAUAUGCAGCCGGCUCAUUUUUCUGCUGAUAUCAAAACAAAUAUGUAAAACAUUUUAGGUACUAAUAAAGGUUUUAUGGAAACCUG